AGAGCGAACGCUGGCGGCAGGCCUAACACAUGCAAGUCGAGCGCCCGUAGCAAUACGGGAGCGGCAGACGGGAUAGUAACACGUGGGAACGCGCCCUUCGGUUCGGAAUAACUCAGGGAAACUUGAGCUAAUACCGGAUACGCCCUUACGGGGAAAGAUUUAUUGCCGAAGGAACGGCCCGCGUCCGAUUAGCUAGUUGGUGAGGUAAUGGCUCACCAAGGCGACGAUCGGUAGCUGGUCUGAGAGGAUGACCAGCAUCACUGGGACUGAGACACGGCCCAGACUCCUACGGGAGGCAGCAGUGGGGAAUAUGGACAAUGGGCGCAAGCCUGAUCCAGCCAUGCCGCGUGGAUGAUGAAGGCCUUAGGGUUGUAAAGUCCUUUUAACGGGGAAGAUAAUGACGGUACCCGUAGAAUAAGCCCGGCUAACUUCGCGCCAGCAGCCGC
rnacentral:rRNA from 1 species